GAUGAACGCUGGCGGCGUGCCUAAUACAUGCAAGUCGAGCGAACAGACGAGGAGCUUGCUCCUCUGACGUUAGCGGCGGACGGGUGAGUAACACGUGGAUAACCUACCUAUAAGACUGGGAUAACUUCGGGAAACCGGAGCUAAUACCGGAUAAUAUAUUGAACCGCAUGGUUCAAUAGUGAAAGACGGUUUUGCUGUCACUUAUAGAUGGAUCCGCGCCGCAUUAGCUAGUUGGUAAGGUAACGGCUUACCAAGGCAACGAUGCGUAGCCGACCUGAGAGGGUGAUCGGCCACACGGGAACUGAGACACGGUCCAGACUCCUACGGGAGGCAGAAGUAGGGAAUCUUCCGCAAUGGGCGAAAGCUUGACGGAGCAACGCCGCGUGAGUGAUGAAGGUCUUCGGAUCGUAAAACUCUGUUAUUAGGGAAGAACAAAUGUGUAAGUAACGAUGCACGUCUUGACGGUACCUAAUCAGAAAGCCACGGCUAACUACGU
rnacentral:rRNA from 1 species